CAGCGCGAUGGAUCCCCUUCAGCAAGACAAUACUCCAACUACAAAACAAUUAGGAUCAUCUUUGACCAAACUUCCCAGCCUUGAUCUCAGCAGAGGCCUGCAAGGGACCAACCAUCACCAUAAACAUUAUGUUCAAGACACUGACAACUUUGAUUCCCACAUGGAAAUGGAUCACCAUCGUGCCUGGAAGGAUCAAACUCAACGAACUAGUCCCAGGGGUCAUACGGAGUUUAGGCAUGGGGUGUCCUACGAUGACGUAAGCGUCAUAAGCAUGGCAUCUAACUAUCCGGAAAGAGGGCAAAGACGCCGCCCUGGGAUUCCUCACUCCAACAUAUGCACCAUCUGCAGUACUUACAUAUACAUCUUCCGCCAUCGAUGCCUGGUAACCAAGAUAUUUAAUUUCAUUUAAUUUGUGCAAAAGAAAAGCAACGGCUGCAUGGCCGAGACACUAUAUGACUGGAAGCUGAUGUUUAAUGAAUUUAUGCAGUUAGGAUGUGGUCAAUAAGUUGUCAGAAACUUUAAUUUCUAGUUUAGAAACCAAUUUCAAAAAUAUAUAUGCUACAUAUCUCUGUUUUUGAACAAUUCAAGAUUACCACUAGCUAGGAUAUAUAUGCAGGUUUGUGGAAGGGUGUACUGUAGGCAAUGCGUCUGUAUUGGGAUGGGAGAAAUGGCAGAAGGCAGAAAGUGCGUUCUGUGUUUGGGAAGAAGAUUCAGCCCAAGGUAACAUAACAUUUCCCCAUGAAGAGUUAAGUUUUGGAGUGAAUUAUAUAAAUAUAUAGAUGUGCAAACAAUAAGAGAGAACGUUUUAUGAGUGAUUGGAUAGGUACAUAAAAAGAGCAGGAAAGAUGGGCUGCUGUUGGAGGUACCCGAGUAUGGUGAAGCAAGCAGAGCUGAAGUGGGCAGAGAAAGGGCCUCGGAGAAGCGGGGAGAGAGCAGAUGGGCGCAGUACCGUGACCCUGAGCAUGAUGUCAAGGUCAAGAAGCCCUCAAAGGACUCCAACCGGGACCAGGACCACGAUGGCUACUACUACUAGCAGCACCCCAUCUUUUGUCGCUACCUCACCUGCCUAUUCCCCUUAUUCUCAUCACCACCUUCCCAUCUAGUUUGCUAUAUUAUUCUAUUAUUCUCUAUUGAAUAUUUAUUUGGUCAAAGCUGAACUAAUUAUUUUUGGUCUUUAAGCCUUCGUUAUAUUGUUGCUUUGUUUCGUAAUUCUUUCCAUCCUAUCAGAAAUAGGAUGUUAUGCAUUAACUACUUUGUAUUUUACCGUCCAAAGGAAUUUGCAGGAAACUGCUACGAAACAAAACUGUACCUACUACAGUGCAAUCAAUAUAGCUAUUUACAGGUGAAGCCAAACCCUCCUGAUUUAUACCCUAAGCUAUACAAAAAGAUAUAAUUACGGAAUCAUUUAUCUUUACAUAUGUGCUGGUUGCCAUCUGCAAUUGCAUUAGGGGUCUUACCUGCUUCAAGAUAGCUUAAAUGUGAUGUAAAAUGCUAGCUUCAUUCCAACUCCAGCACCACCUUUUACCUUUGGUUUGCAGGCUGUGACCCACUCAUUUUUUCCUUUAAUAAUUGAUUCAUCUUUUUCAAAUAACUACAGCAAGCCUGCAUAACCAUUAAUCCUUGCUCUACUUUUCCCAAUCAUGGGGUCAGAAGGGCCACCUCUUAGUACCUCACAGGCAAUUUUCCUAAUACAUAUUCACUUAUUUGCAAUAUUUUCAACACCCAUCAGAGAACAAUAAAAUUUCCAAUUCAACCAAACAAGGAUUUAAAUGGUGUUUGCGGUCAUGUUCAGUCGCAUCGCUUUUAUCGCUAUAGCCAUUAUGAUAGAUGAAUUUGCACGAUUUUAAUAAAAUAUAAUAAUUCUAAUUCUAAGCAUAAAAUUUUAUUUUUAAUAAAACGUUCUAUAAUAUUUUUAAUUUAUGAAAAAGACAAAGUUUCAUCAUUAACAAUUUCUGAGUCUACCUUAAAUUUUAUUGAUCACAAGUUUGUUUUAAUUAUUAUAGGAUAGAUUACACUUUUCUUCUAAACUAUAGCUCAUACUUUUAAUUUUCAUUUAAUUAAAAUUAAUACUGAAAAAAAAAAUCUGAAAGUCAUUUUAGUACUUCAAUUUAAUUCACCUCCAUUUGAAUCAUUAUUGUUAAUUAAAAAAAAUCGAUUAUACCUAUCCAUUAAUGGUUUCUGUACUUGAUUAUGUUGACCAUUAAAUUAAAUUAAUGGAUUAAUCAUAUGACAACAUUUAAUAACCCGAUAUUUAGUCCUUUAUUUUUUUUAAUAAAAGUCAUAAAAAUUAUAUAUAUAUAUAUAAAGAUCAUAAAAAUUAUGAAAAAAAGUUAUUAAAAUUAUAUUUUAAAAAAAUUAUAAAAAUCUUAAGAGAUUGUAAAAGAUAUAAACAAUCAUAAAUAUUAUUAAAAAUAUUUUAUACAAACAUAUAAAAACUUUAAAAUAUUAUAAAAAUAUUGAAUUUUAAAUUAAAAAUAUUUUUUUGUUGAUUGUGUCUAGUAUAGUAUCGAAUGUAUCGAAUGUAUCAUUCGUCACAAAACCAACAUGAUUUUUCAUGGUACUACGAGUAUCAACAUGAUUCGUCACAAAACCAACAUGAUUUUUUUGUUGAUUGUGGCUUUUCACUACUAUUAUCACUUUCUUUGUUACUAUGAGUAUCACGAAUCAUUGUGAAAUCCUUAAUAAAACACAACACUAAAGAAAAAAAAAUUAAGCAAACAUCACCGUUAUACACUUAGAAAUAAAAUUGCAUUCUCAACAAGAUAAGAAUUAAUCUUUUUAAGUCUUUUAAAAAUGUUAAUAAGCAAUCAAUCAGAAAUGUAUUAGAACCUAAAGGAAACAAUAAAAUGUUAUCAAUAAAAAUCGGUGAAACCUGAAAAUCGCUAAGUAACUUGACAAACUUCGUUCAAGGUGUUCCCGAUUUCCAAAACCACAAAAUUUAAAUUAGAACAUUCUCAAAUAGAAUAGAUCUGAUUUGGAAAGUUUUGGCAUGAAAUUCAAUCUAGAAUUUUUUUAAAAAAUUUUCUUCAUAUUUUUUGAGGUUUUUUUUCACUUUUUUCGAUCUUUUUUUUGUGGGAUUUUUUUUAUAUUCCAAUAGCGUGCUAAAAAUUGGUGUGUAAAAUUUCACAUGAUCUGGAAAAUGUUUACCCACUGAAAAAUAUAUGGGUAAAAAACUACUUUGAGCCUGUUUUGCUAGAAAUUAGUUUAUAAAAACUCAAAGAAGACCCAAAAUGCCCAAGAAAUUGAUACCAAAUAAUAUGGACGUGUGCGGAAUAAGAUCGCAAGUUUGUCCAAGUUGCAGAUUUGAUCUAGGGAUCUAGACGAACGAAAGGAAACUUGGAGUUCAACUCAACCUGAAACGCAAACAAUCCAAGUCAAAAUUGAAAGGGUAACAACAAAAAUCAAGUAAUAACAGCACAAAUAGACCAAAUUAAGAAUUAGAGUUCUUACAGAAGUCCAAAUCGAUCAAGAAAAUACUUGUUUUUGAUGAAUUCCAAACGAAAUAAGACUGUCAAUUAAGUAAAAGCAAACAAUUAAAACAAAUUUGAAGACCUGAGGCUAAAACCCAAAUUAAAUCACAAGAAAAACUAAAAAAAAGGUUCGAUCAAUCAAAAACAAUAAGUAACCAAGUGUUUGGAGUGAUUUGGGUCGUUGUUGAUAAAGAAAAAGUUGUCAAACAAAGAUCUAAACAAAAGAAACAAAAACAAAUUAGAAAUUGAAUGAAAACAAAUUAAAAGAAAACCUAACAACAACUAAAGGGAGGGACGGCCAAAAUGAGUCUAAGAAUGAGCAGAAUAAGGUUUCUUGGAAGAGAAGAAAUCGUUCUUGGACUCUAAAGAAACCUCCAAUCAAAUCUGAAACAAAAUAACAAAAAUAGUUUAGUAGAAUGAAGAAUUAAGUCAAAAGCAAAUUGUUUUGUAACAAAAGAAUUCAAACAGCAAGAAAAGAUAGGAGAACGCCCCUCUUGAUUGAAAUAAGACUUGAAAUUAAGAAAAAUCAAAGAUUAGAUUCAAAGUAACAAGAACAAAAUAGGAAAAAAAAUAAAAAAUAAAAAAAGAAAAAGAUAGAUGGAAAAGAUGGAUUGGAAACAAGAUGAAUUCACAUCCUCCUUAAAACAACUCUAAUUUUUCUAAUUCUUCUGAAUAAUCAAUGAAUAAAGAAUACAAUGG
rnacentral:lncRNA from 1 species